rnacentral:lncRNA from 1 species
GUGUUGAUCUCCAGGAGAAGAAAAGGGGUGCAAACCCUAGUUCAUAAAGAAUCUUCAAAAUUGAAGGGAAAUUGGAGCUCAAACCCAUUAACGAGCAUGAAUUAAUGAUCACCUACACAAGAUGAUCACAAGGUACAUCAUUGUUGGAUCAUUAAAGGAUUGACACGGAAAUGUAAAAUUGGAAGUCAGGGAGUUAUCCGGAUGACAUGCAUUUAAGAAUGGUUACACAGAUCAUUACUAUUAAUCACAAGGGACAAGCGAGUGAAGAUCGAGUCAAAGAACGUGGAUUGUAUAGAAGGAUGGUCACUUGAUCGUAGUCACAUGUUAUAUUUGAAAUAUAUAAAUUAAAAGAUGAAUGAUGAAAUUAUUUUAAAUGAGUUGUCCUUAGAUGUUUAUUAAGUAUGUUAGGACAUGUAUAAAGAAAGAAAUUUUAAGGUUUGUAUU